rnacentral:snRNA from 1 species
GUGCUCGCUUCAGCAGCACAUAUAUCAAAAUUGGAAUGAUACAGAGAUUAGUGUGGCCCCUCCACAAGGAGACACACAAAUUCAUGAAGCAUUCCAUAUUUUG